AACGAACGCUGGCGGCGUGCCUAACACAUGCAAGUCGAGCGCGAAAAGGGCAACCUGAGUAGAGCGGCGCACGGGUGCGUAACACGUGGGUAAUCUGCCUUAGAGUCGAGGAUAACCUUCCGAAAGGUUGGCUAAUACUCGGUAAGCUUACGGUGUCUUCGGACGCUGUGGGAAAAGUAGGCCUCUGUUUACAAGCUUACGCUCUGAGAUGAGCCCGCGGCCCAUCAGCUAGUUGGCGGUGUAACGGACCACCAAGGCAACGACGGGUAGCUGGUCUGAGAGGAGGAUCAGCCACGCUGGAACUGAGACACGGUCCAGACUCCUACGGGAGGCAGCAGUGGGGAAUUUUCCACAAUGGGCGAAAGCCUGAUGGAGCAACGCCGCGUGUGUGAUGAAGGUUUUCGGAUCGUAAAGCACUUUCGACCGGGACGAAAAACCUCUGGCUAACAUCCAGGGGCCUGACGGUACCGGGAGAAGAAGCACCGGCUAACUCUGUGCCAGCCGCCGCCGUAA
rnacentral:rRNA from 1 species